rnacentral:snoRNA from 1 species
AUUUGAUGGUGUGGGCAGCUUGCACAAAGCAUUUUGAAACGCUCCCAAUAUUCAUAUAAUGACUCUCCAUUGUUUUGCCUAAUACCAUAGAUUUCCUUUCUAAUGUU